AUCCUUCUAAACAUCUGUUAAAUGUUAUCAGUAAUACGCAACAUAAUCAUCUUGUGGCAUUUGCAGGUCAUCAUAAUAUGUUUGUUGUUAGCACAUCACUUGUCUUUGGUAAAAAUUACACCACAUUACCACGCAUCAUUUUGGCAAAAC